ACGUAGGGGGCGAGCGUUGUCCGGAAUUACUGGGCGUAAAGAGCACGUAGGCGGGAACUUAAGUCAGGUGUGAAAGACCGGGGCUCAACCUCGGGGAUGCACUUGAAACUGGGAUUCUUGAGGGCGGGAGAGGAAAGCGGAAUUCCUGGGGUAGGAGUGAAAUCCUGUGAUCCUUGGGGGACCACCUGUGGCGAAGGCGGCUCACCAGGACGGCUCUGACAGUGAGGAACGAAAGCUGGGGGAGCAAACCG
rnacentral:rRNA from 1 species